CCCUUAGAUGUUCUGGGCCGCACGCGCGCUACACUGACGAAUGCAACGAGCUUAUAACCUUGGCCGAAAGGUCUGGGUAAUCUCCAAAUUUCGUCGUGAUGGGGAUAGAUUAUUGCAAUUAUUAAUCUUCAACGAGGAAUGCCUAGUAAGCGCAAGUCAUCAGCUUGCAUUGAUUACGUCCCUGCCCUUUGUACACACCGCCCGUCGCACCUACCGAUUGAAUGACCCGGUGAAAUCUUCGGAUCGUCGUAUUGCCCGAUUCAUUUCGGGCGAUGUGACGCAAAGUUGAUUAAACCUUGCCAUUUAGAGGAAGGUGAAGUCGUAACA
rnacentral:rRNA from 1 species